rnacentral:rRNA from 1 species
GGAUUAGAUACCCUGGUAGUCCACACCGUAAACGCUGUCUACUAGCUGUGUGUGUAUUUAAUACGUGCGUAGCGAAGCUAACGCGCUAAGUAGACCGCCUGGGGAGUACGGCCGCAAGGUUAAAACUCAAAUGAAUUGACGGGGGCCCGCACAAGCGGUGGAGCAUGUGGUUUAAUUCGAUGCAACGCGAAGAACCUUACCUACACUUGACAUGCCAAGAACUUUCUAGAGAUAGAUUGGUGCCUUCGGGAACUUGGACACAGGUGCUGCAUGACUGUCGUCAGCUCGUGCCG